GAAGCAAAUCCUUAAGAGUUGCUUUAAUUCGCACCUCUCUGUUAACUAUUUUGGCAUCUAGGUGUCUCAGUGGAUAGAAUGCCAGGUCUAGAGUCAGAAAGACCAAACUGAGUUCAAAUCUGACAUCAGAUGUUUACUAGCUGUGUGACCCUGGGCAGGUCAAUGAACCCUAUUUUCCUCUGUUUCCUCAUCUGUAAAAUGAGCUAGAGAAGGAAAUGGCAAACCAAUCUAGUAUUUUUGUCAAGAAAACUCCAAAUACAGAUCAAGAAGAGUCUAGCAUGACCAAACAAGUGAAUUGUUAGGUUCCCAGGAAAUGUUAUAUAGUCUAUCUGGUUAUUUUCCUUUAUCUACUUUCCCAUAAAUUUCCCAGGCUUUCCUUGUUCUAAGAUACAUUUUUAUAGCCAUUCUAGACAUGUCUGUUCAAUUCUCUGCAUCACUAUUAUCUUUAUUGUGUGCUUAGAAUCAUAGAAUUUUAGAAUUAAAAGGGAGUUAAGGAUGCACCUAAUGCACCUACAGAUGAUAAAUUCAAGGCCCCCAGGGAUUGAAUGAGUUUCCCAAUGUCACUCAGGGAGUUGGCAGCAGAGUCAAGUGGAGGAUCCAGGUUUCCUGACUCCUAAUCCCGUGCUCCUAACUGGCAUGCAACUUCUAAACGUUUCCUGAAGUGGCUGUCUUGCAGAAUGUUCCUUGGUGUCAUAGCAACAAGCCGAAGCUUCCUUAAGACAAUGACUAUGGCUCACUCACUGCGGAAGCCUCGGAGGAUGUGUACCUCUGACGUUAUGGGGCAACUAGUCUAGAGGGGAGUUGACAAACUCCCACUGAGGCUGCCCAGAGAGUUAGCACAGACUUCCCUUCCGAGCAGCGAGCAGCGCCAGAAUGAGCUUUACCAUUAAAUUCAUAGACCUCCUGAACCUUUCACUUGGCACCCCAGAACCAGGGGUGGUGAAUUUCAAUGCCCUGCGUAUCUUGCUGCAGGGCAUCAUAGAGCACCUCAACUUGUCAGAGCAGAAGAAGGUUCUGCCAGGGAAUGAGAAGGACUACAUUAACCCCUUCCAGAAGGUCUCUCUUCCGAAAAGCCUGCUGGAAAUGCCAGAAGAGAAGAGUAUAGAGGGAAUAUUAUCCCGGAACCUAUCCGGGAAGGUCACCACUGACUUUGGCCGGCGGCUCUCUGCCGUGGAAAAACAGAUAGCCUUUCUCGAAACGCUGCCCACCACCAAGCAGCUGUUGGAGAGAAGUCAACCUUUGAAAACACCAGCCCAAGAUAUGUGGCAGAUGUUACAGCUAAAAAAAAAGGUAGAAGGGAACGAAGAAGGAAUGACAAAGGCCAUGAAUACACUACAGGAGCUGCUCACCACUAUUUAUAGCCUUCAGUCAGACAUAGAUAACUUCAGGAUUGUACUGGAAGAACUGAAAGAAAAGGCUAAAAGGAUGUGCCUAGAAGAAGUAAAUAAACAGUUCCAGGAAUUGAAAGAUCAACAGGACCAGGUGAAAAAUCUUCAGAAUGGCAUGGAAGAUGUCAAGAAUAUGCUUCGCUCCUUCCCUGAUAAAAGUGAUAUCAUGCAAUGGACCACCUUACAUGAUGCCAUGUUUCCUCAAGCUGACACUGAAAAGAUUCCUAAGAAGACUGAGGCUGAGACUGAAAAAGAGCUUCAGACUGAGGGUGUUGGCUUAGGAACCCUUCAAAUCCCAAGCAUGACUGCUGUCCCGCCAUAUGGAGCUGGCCCACCAGGUACCACUGCUAUUCCACCAUAUGGAGCUGGCCUACCGGGCACCACUGCUAUCCCACUGUAUGGAGCUGGCCUACCAGAUACCACUGCUAUUCCACCAUAUGGAGCUGGCCUACCAGGUACCACUGCUAUUCCACCAUAUGGAGCUGGCCUACCAGGCACCAUUGCUAUCCCACCAUAUGGAGCUGGCCUACCAGGCACCACUGCUCUCCUGCCAUCUGCUGCUGACCUACUAGGCACCACUACUCUCCCUCCAUCAGCCUUUGGCCUACCAGGCACCACUGCUCUCAUACCAUAUGGAGCGGGCCUACCAGGCACCACUGCUAUCCCCCCAUCUCCUGCUGGCCUACCAGGCACCACUGCUAUCCCCCCAUCUCCUGCUGGCCUACCAGGCACCACUGCUAUCCCCCCAUCUCCUGCUGGCCUACCAGGCACCACUGCUAUUCCACCAUAUGGAGCUGGCCUAUCAGGCACCACUGCUCUCCCGCCAUCUGCCGCUGGCCUAUCAGGCACCACUGCUCUCCCUCCAUCUGCCUCUGGACUACCAGGCACCACUGCUCUCCCUCCAUCUGCUGCUGGCCUACCAGGCACCACUGCUCUCCCACCAUCUGCUGCUGGUCUACCAGGCACCACUGCUCUCCCUCCAUCUGCUGCUGGCCUACCAGGCACCACUGCUCUCCCGCCAUCUGCUGCUGGUCUACCAGGCACCACUGCUCUCCCUCCAUCUGCUGCUGGCCUACCAGGCACCACUGCUCUCCCUCCAUCUGCUGCUGGUCUACCAGGCACCACUGCUCUCCCUCCAUCUGCUACUGGCCUACCAGGCACCACUGCUCUCCCUCCAUCUGCCGCUGGCCUACCAGGCACCACUGCUCUCCCACCAUCUGCUGCUGGUCUACCAGGCACCACUGCUCUCCCUCCAUCUGCUGCUGGCCUACCAGGCACCACUGCUCUCCCUCCAUCUGCUGUUGGCCUACCAGGCACCACUGCUCUCCCUCCAUCUGCUACUGGCCUACCAGGCACCACUGCUCUCCCUCCAUCUGCUACUGGCCUACCAGGUACCACUGCUCUCCUGCCGUCUGCUGCUGGCCUACCAGGCACCACUGCUCUCCCGCCAUCUGCCUCUGGUCUACCAGGCACCACUGCUCUCCCGCCAUAUGGCGCUGGUCUACCAGGCACCACUGCUCUCCCGCCAUCUGCCGCUGGCCUACCAGGCACCACUGCUCUCCCGCCGUCUGCUGCUGGCCUACCAGGCACCACUGCUCUCCCGCCAUCUGCCUCUGGUCUACCAGGCACCACUGCUAUCCCCCCAUCUGCCGCUGGCCUACCAGGCACCACUGCUCUCCUGCCGUCUGCUGCUGGCCUACCAGGCACCACUGCUCUCCCGCCAUAUGGCGCUGGUCUACCAGGCACCACUGCUAUCCCCCCAUCUGCCACUGGCCUACCAGGCACCACUGCUCUCCUGCCGUCUGCUGCUGGCCUACCAGGCACCACUGCUCUCCCGCCAUAUGGCGCUGGUCUACCAGGCACCACUGCUAUCCCCCCAUCUGCCGCUGGCCUACCAGGCACCACUGCUCUCCUGCCGUCUGCUGCUGGCCUACCAGGCACCACUGCUCUCCCGCCAUAUGGCGCUGGUCUACCAGGCACCACUGCUAUCCCCCCAUCUGCCGCUGGCCUACCAGGCACCACUGCUCUCCUGCCGUCUGCUGCUGGCCUACCAGGCACCACUGGUCUCCCGCCAUAUGGCGCUGGUCUACCAGGCACCACUGCUAUCCCCCCAUCUGCCGCUGGCCUACCAGGCACCACUGCUCUCCCGCCAUCUGCCUCGGGCCUACCAGGCACCACUGCUCUCCCACCAUCUGCUGCUGGCCUACCAGGCACCACUGGUCUCCCGCCAUAUGGCGCUGGUCUACCAGGCACCACUGCUCUCCCGCCAUCUGCCACUGGCCUACCAAGCACCACUGCUCUCCCUCCAUCUGCUGCUGGCCUACCAGGCACCACUGCUCUCCCUCCAUCUGCUGCUGGCCUACCAGGUACCACUGCUCUCCCGCCAUCUGCUGCUGGCCUACCAGGCACCACUGCUCUCCCGCCAUCUGCUGUUGGCCUACCAGGCACCACUGCUCUCCCGCCAUCUGCUGUUGGCCUACCAGGCACCACUGCUCUCCCGCCAUCUGCUGCUGGCCUACCAGGUACCACUGCUCUCCCUCCAUCUGCUGCUGGCCUACCAGGCACCACUGCUCUCCCACCAUCUGCUGCUGGCCUACCAGGUACCACUGCUCUCCCGCCAUCUGCCUCUGGUCUACCAGGCACCACUGCUCUCCCGCCAUCUGCCUCUGGUCUACCAGGCACCACUGCUCUCCCACCAUAUGGACCUGGCCUACGAGGCCCCACUGCUCUCCCAACAUCUGCUGCUGGCCUUCCAGGCACCACUGCUAUCCCUCCAUCUGGCGCUGGCCUUCCAGACACCACUGCUCUUCCUCCAUCUGCUUCUGGCCUUCCAGGCACCACUGCUAUCCCUCCAUCUGGCGCUGGCCUUCCAGGCACCACUGCUCUCCCUCCAUCUGCUGCUGGCCUUCCAGGCACCACUGCUAUCCCACCAUAUGGAACUGGCCUUCCAGGCACCACUGCUCUUCCUCCAUCUGCUUCUGGCCUUCCAGGCACCACUGCUAUCCCCCCAUCUCCUGCUGGCCUACCAGGCACCACUGCUCUCCUACCAUCUGCCUCUGGCCUACCAGGCACCACUGCUAUCCCCCCAUCUCCUGCUGGCCUACCAGGCACCACUGCUAUCCCCCCAUCUGCCUCUGGCCUACCAGGCACCACUGCUCUCCCGCUAUAUGGAACUGGCCUACCAGGCCCCACUGCUAUCCCUCCAUCUGAAGCUAGCCUACCAGGCACCACUGCUAUCCCCCCAUAUGGAGCUGGUCUACCAGGCACCACUGCUAUCCCACCAUAUGGAGCUGGCCUACCAGGCACCACUGCUCUCCCGCCAUAUGGCACUGGCCUACUAGGCCCCACUGCUCUCCCGCCAUAUGGCGCUGGCCUACUAGGCCCCACUGCUCUCCCGCUAUAUGGAACUGGCCUACCAGGCACCACUGCUCUCCCUCCAUCUGAAGCUGGCCUACCAGGCCCCACUGCUAUCCCUCCAUCUGAAGCUGGCCUACCAGGCACCACUGCUAUCCCACCAUAUGGAACUGGCCUACCAGGCACCACUGCUAUCCCACUAUAUGGAGCUGGUCUACCAGGCACCACUGCUCUCCCGCCAUAUGGCGCUGGCCUACUAGGCACCACUGCUCUCCCACCAUAUGGCACUGGCCUACCAGGCACCACUGCUCUCCCACCAUAUGGCGCUGGCCUCCCAGGCACCACUGCUCUCCCACUAUAUGGAGCUGGCCUACCAGGCACCACUGCUAUCCCACCAUAUAUCACUGUCCAGCCAGGCACCACUGCUAUCCCUCUACCUGGCCUAACAGACACCACUGUUCUCCCUCCAUCUGCCGCUGGCCUACCAGGGACCACUGCUCUCCCGCCAUCUGCCGCUGGCCUACCAGGCACCACUGCUCUCCCGCCAUCUGCCGCUGGCCUACCAGGCACCACUGCUCUCCCUCCAUCUGCCGCUGGCCUACCAGGCACCACUGCUCUCCCGCCAUCUGCCGCUGGCCUACCAGGCACCACUGCUCUCCCUCCAUCUGCCGCUGGCCUACCAGGCACCACUGCUCUCCCGCCAUCUGCCGCUGGCCUACCAGGCACCACUGCUCUCCCGCCAUCUGCCGCUGGCCUACCAGGCACCACUGCUCUCCCUCCAUCUGCCGCUGGCCUACCAGGCACCACUGCUCUCCCGCCAUCUGCCGCUGGCCUACCAGGCACCACUGCUCUCCCGCCAUCUGCCACUGGCCUACCAGGCACCACUGCUCUCCCGCCAUCUGAAGCUGGCCUACCAGGCACCACUGCUCCCCUGCCAUCUGCUGCUGACCUACCAGGCACCACUGCUCUCCCGCUAUCUGCCUCUGGUCUACCAGGCACCACUGCUCUCUCGCCAUCUGCCUCUGGCCUACCAGGCACCACUGCUCCCCUACCAUCUGCUGCUGGCCUACCAGGCACCACUGCUCUCCCUCCAUCUGCCACUGGCCUACCAGGCACCACUGGUCUCCCGCCAUCUGCUGCUGGUCUACCAGGCACCACUGCUCCCCUGCCAUCUGCUGCUGGCCUACCAGGCACCACUGCUCUCCCGCCAUCUGCCUCUGGUCUACCAGGCACCACUGCUCCCCUACCAUCUGCUGCUGGCCUACCAGGCACCACUGCUCCCCUGCCAUCUGCUGCUGGCCUACCAGGCACCACUGCUCUCCCACCAUCUGCUGCUGGCCUACCAGGCCCCACUGCUAUCCCUCCAUCUGCCUCUGGCCUACCAGGCACCACUGAUCUCCCGCCAUCUGAAGCUGGCCUAUCAGGCACCACUGCUCUCCCACCAUCUGCUGCUGGCCUACCAGGCACCACUGCUCUCCCGCCAUCUGCCACUGGCCUACCAAGCACCACUGCUCUCCCUCCAUCUGCUGCUGGCCUACCAGGCACCACUGCUCUCCCUCCAUCUGCUGCUGGCCUACCAGGCACCUCUGCUCUCCCACCAUCUGCUGCUGGCCUACCAGGCACCACUGCUAUCCCUCCAUCUGGCGCUGGCCUACCAGGCACCACUGCUCUCCCAACAUCUGAAGCUGGCCUACCAGGCACCACUACUCUCCCGCCAUCUGAUGCUGGCCUACCAGGCACCAUUCCUAUCCCUCCAUAUGGCACUGGCCUGCCAGGCACCACUGCUCUCCCACCAUAUGGUGUUGGCCUACCAGGCACCACUGCUCUCUCACCAUAUGGCACUGGCCUACCAGGCACCACUGCUAUCCCACCAUAUGAUGUUGGCCUACCAGGCACCACUGCUCUCUCACCAUAUGGCACUGGCCUACCAGGCACCACUGCUAUCCCACCAUAUGGUGUUGGCCUACCAGGCACCACUACUAUCCCACCAUAUGGUGUUGGCCUACCAGGCACCACUGCUAUCCCACCAUAUGGUGUUGGCCUACCAGGCACCACUGCUAUCCCACCAUAUGGUGUUGGCCUACCAGGCACCACUGCUAUCCCACCAUAUGGUGUUGGCCUACCAGGCACCACUGCUAUCCCACCAUAUGGCACUGGCCUACCAGGCACCACUGCUAUCCCCCCAUCUGCCGCUGGCCUACCAGGCACCACUGCUAUCCCCCCAUCUCCUGCUGGCCUACCAGGCACCACUGCUAUCCCCCCAUCUGCCGCUGGCCUACCAGGCACCACUGCUAUCCCCCCAUCUGCCGCUGGCCUACCAGGCACCACUGCUAUCCCCCCAUCUGCCGCUGGCCUACCAGACAUCCCUGCUAUCCCUCCACAUGAUGCUGGCCUACCAGGAACCACUGCUCUCCCACCAUCUGCUGCAAGGCAACGAAGAACUGCUACUCUCCGGCCAUAUACCUCUGACCGACGAAGAAUUACUGCUCUCCAACCAUAUGGAGCUGGCCUACCAGGCACCAGUGCUCUCCCACCAUCUACUGCUGGCUUAGCAGACACUGAUGUUUUGUCUUUGCUUUCUAUUUUAGGCAUCACCCCUGAUGAAGCCACCCUGGCCUAUCUGGGUCCUAAGGUUGAUCCAUCCACCCUUAAAGCAGUAAUCCUCAGAAACCUAUAUUCGACUGCUAAUGCAGAGACCCCAAGUCAAAGUCGAACUUCAUCUCUUUUUCCUUCUUCUACUAGUGCUCCCACUCCAUCUCCCACUGUUCAGGGGGUCUUAGAAACCAUUCCUGUAUCAGAAACCCCUUCUGUUCCAGAGAGCUCCACUCUCCCUGACACCAAAGCUGGCAAAGGCCCCUUUCUCACCUCUCCCAGGAUUCAAGUUUAUGUACCCAAAGCAAGUCCAAUCUCAGGCAAGGCCUUUAAGCAGGUGGAUCUUUCUUUGAGUAAAGAAGACAAAAAGCUUAUUGCCAAGAAUUCUAUAAGCAACUUGAUCAGUUUACCAUUAGAGUGUGAUUCCCUCAAGGAGCAAAUGACCAAGUUAGAAGAUAAGGUGCAACAGCAGGCUGUACGAAUAGUUAAUCUUGAGUUUGUAAAUUCUCUUGGGCUCCCAUCUAAGCUAGAAACUGAGAUGAGCGCACUACAGAAAAAGAUCUCCAAGAAUUUCCAGGAAUCAGGGCAAAAGAAUAAGAAUUAUGAGCAGAAUUUGGAAAAGAUGAGGGAAAACUAUGAUGCUUUGGAAAAAGUCACCGAAAAUCUGCAGAAUAAAGUGGAGGAUAUCAAGGACAUCCAAAAUGUGUUGAGACAACUAGAAAUCAAAAAGGCAGAUAAAAUUGAGAUGGAAGAACAAAUGAGAGAGAAAGCAGAUAAGAGUGCCCUGGCCUUCAAAGCAAACCGGGCGGACCUGGAUCUUGCAAUAGUUCAAUUAAGUGAAAUGAUGGGGAACAUGAUGAAGAAGAUGUCUAUCAAUAAGCAUGACUGGCAGAAGGUGCUGCACAAGCUUUUCAUCGAUGUGGAUUCAAAGCUGGGCCACAUGGACCUUGAUCCCAUGAAGAAACAGAUGAAGCAAAUCUGGAAAGUUAUCAAAAAGCACCUGAGUGAGAGUGCUCACUUUGAUGGAGACGGCGCUGCUGGCUUUAGGAAGCAACUCUUUGAGCGGGUGAAGUGCAUCUCUUGUGACCGGCCUGUGACGAUGAUGACGUGCCCACAAAUGAUUACUAUUCGGAGAGCAAACAUGAUCUCCCGUCUGCGGCCCGCCAGCGCCAACACUUUUGAAUACCUACAACGGCUGAAAUUAAAGUGAGUGGUCAUGGGGCCCGGGGACCCACACCUUACCCUUCCUCAGACUUCCAGAGCAAGAAAAGGACUUGUUGGGUCCUCGGCCUUACUCUCCCCCUCUAAUGGUCACCCCUGGAAGCAUCCUGGAUACCUAAUUGCAGUCUACAGUACUUAUGGGGAAGACCAUCCCAAUAGAGUCACAGUCAAGCACUGGGACUCGGGGUUGGACUGUCCCAAAAGGUAUGUACCCCACAAAUUGCACAGAAGCCUACGCUUUUCUAGUAAUAAGGUGGGCAGAGCUGGGAAAGGCACGAGGGAACAGCGGGUCCUGAACACGGACUCCUGUCUCCAACCCCAUCUCCACCCGGCAGUGUUGCAAGAGUCCCAGAUCACAGAGGACCCAAAAGUCCCAUGCAGUGUUCUGGCACCACUGAUGGGAAUUUUCACCAGUCGGGUGGAGAGAGUCUGACAUAGUUUGCUGGGACAUAGUUUGAUAACAAUAACACUGGGCUUUCUGUCUCAGAAAAGAAACAUACUUUGACUUGUUUCAACAUGCCAAACCCUACGCACUCUGGUUUCCACUCCUACCACUCUAACAAGGCUGGCCUCUGGAAGGUCAACAUGAGCUACCCAAACACCAAAUUUCUAUUUACAGUUUCAUCCUCCUUGACCUCUUUAUAGCAUUUCACUUUGUCAGUCACCUCCCUCCUACCGUCUGUUCCCUCCUCCCUUAGCUCUGGCAACACCUCGCUUUCCUGGUUCUUCCUCCUACCAUUUUAAGAAUUGUUAUUAUAAACUUAACAAGCACAAACACUUCCAUAUGCAAAGAACACUAAAUAGAGAUAUGCAACCAUGAAUCCCUAUUAUGUACCGCUUGGUUUUCUUAAAGUAGUAAAUUGAACACAGUAAUACCAAUGCUGUCCUCCUUGUCUGACCUUCUUUUCUAUAUAUUUUUAAAAAAUAUUUGUUUGGCACUCUUCUUUCCUUUGCAGUAUUACAAACACUAUUCCCUUCAAAACUAUCCCCUUAUUCAUUCCCCACAAGUAGAAGCCCUCCCUGGCAACAGACAAGUAUAGUCGAGCAAAACAAAUUUACACCGUAGCUGGGUCUGAAAAUGAAUGUCCUGUCCUAUCAUCUCUUUGCUGAGCUCCUCCUACACUUCGAAGCACUCUUCUGUCCCCUUAGGAUCAUAAGUUUAGAACUAGAAGGGACAUUAGAGCUCAUAUUCUUCAACUCCCUCAUUUUACAGAUGAGAAAACUGAGACCCAAAGAAAUCAAUUGACUUGCCUAAAGUCACACAGGUUAUAAAUGGCUAAGAUGAGAUUUGAACGGAGGUCCUCUUGCUCCAGUUCCAAUGCCCUUUUCACCCUAUAGUGAGUGCUGUCAUUUGCUGGCUCCUCAGCCUUUCCUUCACCCUUCAAAUAGAGUAUUUCCCAAGAUUCUGUCCUUGACUUUUUUCCUUCUCAGUACUUUCUUCCUUGGAACUCUCAUUCACACAAAAUGUCCCAAAUUUCUAUCUUCAGCCCUUUUCUAUUAUGCUCCAUACUCACACCACCUACAACUGCCAACAAGGUAGUUCCAUUUAGAUUCAAAACGUCCAAAAAUGAAAUUAUGACUAUUUUUCAACCUAAGCCUCCUUCUCUGACUUCACUAUUUCGGCCAGUUAAACCACCAUUCAUUAGUCUCAUAUUUUGAGCUUUGGUGUUCCCUUUAAUGCUUCCUUCUCCCUCAGGUCUCCACUUAUAAAUGUCCCUUUCUCUUUCUUCCUACUGCUACCCUCUUAGCUCAGAUACUCAUUAGAAUUAUAGACCUAAAGAUGGAAGGGAAGUUAGAAGCCACCUUGUCCAAAUCCCUCAUUGGACAGAUGAAGAAAUGUACCUGAGAGAUGUUAAGUGACUUGCCAAUUCACACUGAUAGUAAAUUGCAGGGCCAUGCUUCGGUGUCAGAAUCUCUGACUUCACACACACAAUUCCUUCAUUCUGAAGUACUCUCUCGCUCUCAUUUUCCUUCCCUGCUCAAAAAAUUUAAGGGACCUCCUAUUCCCCAUAAAGCAAAUUUUGCUUGGUAUUCAGGGCUCUCAACCAUCUGGCAGCAAACUACCUUUCUAGUCUUAUUUCAUCUUGCUGUUCUUCACACACUUUGUCCUGAGUAAACUGAAACCUCCUGUCUGUCUCAUAAAUAUUCUGCACUUUCCCACUCUGUUUUUGUUCAUUCUAUGCCAGAUGCCUAGAAUGUCUUCCCUCCAGUUUUUUGCUUGUUGAAUACCAGCCGAACCUUGAGAGUACAACUCAAAUUCUACCUUCUUUGGGAAGCCCUCCCUGACUUCUUUAUUGCUUGUUUAGUGCUUCCUCCCCAAAGCUCUUUUUUAAGUUAAAUUUUAUUUCUUUCAGUGAUAAUCUACCUUCUCUCCCUUCUGCCUCCCCCCACCAUUAAGAAAGUAAGAAAAACCAACCCACUUGUUACAAAAGGAUAUAGUGAAGCAAAACAAAUUCCCACAUUUUUAAUCUCCAAAAAAAAAAAAAAGACUUAAUCUGCACUUUGGGACUCUCUCCUCUCUAUCAGGAAGUGGAUAACACGUUCCAUCACGGGUCCUCUAGAAUCAUGGCUGGCCAUUGCAUUGAUCGAAGCUCCUACAUAGCUAGUUAUCUUUACAGAAUUACUAUUACUGUAGAAAUUAUUCUGGUUCUGCUCCCUUCAUUCUGCAUUGGUUCACACAAGUUUUCCCAGGUUUCUCUGAAACCCUCUCCUUCCUCAUUUCUUAGAGUAUAGUAUUAUUCCAUCACAUUCAUAUACCAAAACUUGUUCAUCAACAUAUACUGUUUUGUUUGGACCUAAUACAUUCAGCAUAAGUUAUUGUAUAUUCUGGAUAUCUCUUGGUCUCAUACUCCUGUUGUUGUUUGUUGUUUGGUUCCUUCAAUCAUGUCUUAGUCUUCAUGGCCCUAUUUGAGGUUUUCUUGGCAGGAAUAUUAUAAUGGUUUGCCAUUUCCUUCUCCAGUUCAUUUUACUGAUGAGGAAAGUAAGUCACACCAGAUUAAGCAAUUUGCCCAGGAUCACACUGUUAGUAAAUGUCUGAGGCAACAUUUGAAUCAAGGUCUUCCUGACUCCAAGCCCAGCACUCUAUCCAAUGUGCCACGGAGCUGCCCAGUCACAUUCCUCUCCUAGAUUUUAAGCUUCAUGAAGGCAGAAAUCAUGUCUCAUCUAAGUUAUGUUUCUCCCCCAAGCAUCUAGCAUAGCAUUCUGUAUACAAUAGGUGCUGAAUUCAUCCUUUUAAAAAAUUGGACGGAGGGCAGCGAGGUGGCACAGUGGAUAGAGAGCCAGGCGUGGAGUUGGGAGGACCGAGUUUCAAAUCUGGCCUCAGACACUUCCUAGCUAUAUGACUUAACCCAGUUGCCUAGUCCUUGAGUCUUUUCUGUCUUAGAAUCAAUACUGAGACAAAAGGUAAGAGUUUAAAAAACAUUGAACAGUAGUGGACUUGUGCUUGAAACAGUUUGAACUCUGUUGCCUGGUCCCCAUUGUGACCAAGCAUAUUCGAGUGUGAGGCAGCUUUGUGAAAAAGAGAAUCAGGGAUGGAGACAUAGCAUGUAACCACAGAACAUGUGUUUCCUCCACUCUACAGGACUAACUUUUCCCCCUAAAGACUAAAACUACAACCUCAGCAGCAGUUUACUUAACCAACUGAGCCCACUAAUCCUUUCCUGAUUCCCAACUAGAAAAGAUACUAAAACCAUCUAAACCCUGUGAUUUCUUGCCACUCUAUAUCCCUUCCUCCUUUCCUGCCUUGUGGGACCCCAAUUUUUCUUCUACCAAUCUCUGUGUAAUAAUAUAAAAAUUAUGAUGAUAUAAUCACUCAUUUACAUAGCUCUUUACAGUUGGCAAAAAACGACUCUCCUUCCAACUACUGUCAGGUAGGUAGUGCAAGAAUUAUUAUCUCUAUUUUGCAGAUGAGAAAACUGAGGUUAAGUGACUCAUCCACAGUCACCCAGCUAGUAAGUGUCAGAACCAGAACUCAGACCCACAUCUUGUGAUUUCUAAGUCCAGUGCUUUUUUUUUUUAAUUAAUUUGUCACGGUGGAUUAAAAAAAAAGGAAAGAAAGCCCAAAGCAGGGAGCAUGAGACACACCCCAACAAUACCUCCCCCCCUCACCUCUAUCACCAUCACCACCAAAAGGCAUCCUUCCCUACAGCAGCCCGGAUGAAGAUGGCGUCAAAGACUGAGAGCUGCAGCCUGAAGAAGACCAAACUUUUCAAGCAAAUGACUUCUCUCCCAAAGGCUUUUGGAGCAGAUGCAACAACUUGAACCAAAUAAGGAAACAACAAACCCCCCUGAACAAACCAUCAUGUCCACAGAGGGCCAGCCACAUUUGGAUGACAACAGCUUGAGGAAGACCAAUGGGAAGCCACCACCAAACCUCAC